rfam:Ophiocordyceps sinensis CO18 unplaced genomic scaffold OCS_Scf_1630, whole genome shotgun sequence.
GAAUUAGUAACUUAACUAGUAAAGAGUUAUCCUAUUACGAUAAUAGAUAUCGGUUCGACUCCGAUCUAGUUCG